GUCGGCGGUUGGCUCCGAAUUUGACCUGCGGACACUGAGAGCAGUCAGGGUUCUGCGACCACUUAGUUGGUGUCAGGGAUUCCCAGCCUGCAGGUGGUACUCAAGUCCAUCAUGAAGUGCUAUGAUCCCCCUGCUGCAGAUCGGACUGCUUCUCUUUGUGGCAUUCUGAUGUUCCAUCAUCGCCUUGAGUUCUAUAUGGGAAAGUUCCACACACCUGUUUUCGACAUCGCCACUGAUGAGAUUUAUGAUGAGUUGCCAUGCGGUACAGAGUUACCGUCCAGAUUGUGUCCUAAUGGGACCACGUGUAAAGGCUAUUGGCUGGGGCCCAACUAUGGGAUCACCCAUUCGACAACAUUCUCUUUGCUGUCCUCACUGUAUUCCAAUGUAUCACCAUGGAGGGUUGGACCGACAUGUU